GCUCGGCGUGUCCUCGCGAGAACUGUGGCUCGUUUGCCCGAAAAUCCCGCGGGAGGUGGAAGGAGGAGGGCUUCUUUCCGGCGGUUCUUGAGUGGCUGGGGAGAACUACGUUUCUACUGGUCCUAAGAAAUGUCAAUCUAAGAAUUCUCCCUUUUAUUGGGUAAUAUUCUUGGAAAAAGGCGGGACAGUACGUCACGAUCGGUGCCAGUGACAACUUGAAAUUACGGAUUAAAGCAGGAGUCUGAAGGUCUCACAAUGCAGCCUUGCUGACCUGGUACACACCAACCAGAUUCUAAAAUAUUUAGACGAAGGAAGAAACCUUUUACUCCUUCACCAGCAAAGAGCUCAGAACCCACAACAGUUCUUUUCCUGAUGUUGUGGCUAGUAAGUGGGUUAUUUGGCUAAUAAACUAAUUGUCUGUACUGCUUGGACCUCAUCACAUCUUUGACUGGCUGCAGUAGAAUGUGACUGAAUUGUGCAGAUCUUUUGAAGCCGGUCCUACUGUUGUAUACCUAUCAACCCUGCACUUGGGAGGUGAAGACAGGAAGACCCAGAAUAAAGGCCAAAGUAGGCUGAAGUUUGAGCCUGGGCUCCAUGAUACUCCAUCUCAAAACGCAUAUAAAAUAAAGAACAUCCUUGUGUGAA